AGUCCGUGACUUGGACAUUUCCUUAUCAACUCUGUGAAUCUCUUCCAUGCUUCCGCGAAGGACUCGUCAUACUUCUGGCGGAAUGAAGUGAUUUCCUCUCUCAAUUU